rnacentral:rRNA from 1 species
CACCUCUAGCAUUUCAAGUAUUAGAGGCAUUGCCUGCCCAGUGACUAUAGUUAAACGGCCGCGGUAUCCUGACCGUGCAAAGGUAGCAUAAUCAUUUGUUCCUUAAUUAGGGACUAGUAUGAACGGCUAAACGAGGGCUCAACUGUCUCUUAUUUUCAAUCAGUGAAAUUGACCUUCCAGUGAAGAGGCUGGAAUAUAAAAAUAAGACGAGAAGACCCUAUGGAGCUUAAAUUAAUAAGCUUAAUUAUUACCCUAGUCCCCUAAUGGAAUAAAACAAAUAAUAUAAGCUUAAAAUUUUGGUUGGGGUGACCUCGGAGAACAAAAAAUCCUCCGAAAGAUAUAUAACAUAGACCUACAAGUCAAAGUAUACCAAUUAUCCAAUUGACCCAAAAAUUGAUCAACGGACCAAGUUACCCUAGGGAUAACAGCGCAAUCCUAUUUAAGAGUCCAUAUCGACAAUAGGGUUUACGACCUCGAUGUUGGAUCAGGACAUCCCAAUGGUGCAGAAGCUAUUAAUGGUUCGUUUGUUCAACGAUUAAA